GUGUUGUAUAAAAGGAGAAAGGCUUAGGAACCCUCUUGAUAAGAAUGGAAAAAUUCCUAAUGGAUUUUUCUACACACACAUACAUUGUUAAUCUAUUGUCCCCUACUUUUGACAUCUAAUAAUGCUUUUUU